CCCGCUGAACUUAAGCAUAUCAAUAAGGCGAGGAACAGAAACCAACAGGGAUUCCCCCAGUAGUGGCGAAUGAAGCGGGAAAAGCUCAAGUUUGAAAUCUGAAGUCCACUUCAGAGUUGUAAGCUGAAGGGGUGUCGACCGACUUGGUCCGGGCCCAACUUCCUUGGAACAGGAGGUCAUGGAGGGUGAGAACCCCGUCUGUGGCUCGGGUGCCGUAGUCCUUGUGUCGUGCCCUCGAAGAGUCGGGUUGUUUGGGAAUGCAGCUCAAAAUGGGUGGUAAAUUUCAUCUAAGGCUAAAUAUUGGCAAGAGACCGAUAGCAAACAAGUAGAGUGAUCGAAAGAUGAAAAGUACUUUGAAAAGAGAGUGAAACAGUACGUGAAAUUGUUGAAAGGGAAGCGUUUGGCAUCAGCCCAUGGCACCCCUCGAUCAUCUGGGCUUCUGCCUGGUGCACUUGAGGGGUUGCUGGGCCAGCGUCGACUUUGCCUGCCGGAGAAAGGCCUUGGGAAUGUGUCUCCUUUUGGAGAGUUAUAUCCCUUGGCGUCAUGCGGCAUGGCGGGGUCGAGGUCCGCGGUAUUACCUAGGACGCUGGCGUAAUGGCUUUAAGCGACCCGUCUUGAAACACGG
rnacentral:rRNA from 1 species